GAUGACGUGGCCGAGUGGUUAAGGCGUUUGACUGCUAAUCAAAUCUCCUCGGAGGCGAGAGUUCGAAUCUCUCCGUCAUCG